CACGUGAGUAACCUGCCCUUGACUCUGGGAUAAGCCUGGGAAACUGGGUCUAAUACCGGAUACGACCAUCUGGCGCAUGUCAUGGUGGUGGAAAGCUUUUGUGGUUUUGGAUGGACUCGCGGCCUAUCAGCUUGUUGGUGGGGUAAUGGCCUACCAAGGCGACGACGGGUAGCCGGCCUGAGAGGGUGACCGGCCACACUGGGACUGAGACACGGCCCAGACUCCUACGGGAGGCAGCAGUGGGGAAUAUUGCACAAUGGGCGCAAGCCUGAUGCAGCGACGCCGCGUGAGGGAUGACGG
rnacentral:rRNA from 1 species